rnacentral:rRNA from 1 species
GCAAGUCUGAACCAGCCAUGCCGCGUGGAGGAUUAAGGCCCUCUGGGUUGUAAACUCCUUUUAUCUGGGAAGAAAUGUACUUUUUCUUGAGUACUUGACGGUACCAGAGGAAUAAGCACCGGCUAACUCCGUGCCAGCAGCCGCGGUAAU